UACGUAGGGGGGCAAGCGUUGUCCGGAUUUAUUGGGCGUAAAGAGCGUGUAGGCGGCCAUUUAGGUCCGGUGUGAAAACUCGAGGCUCAACCUCGAGACGCCGGUGGAAACCAUCUAGCUAGAGUCCGGAAGAGGAGAGUGGAAUUCCUGGUGUAGCGGUGAAAUGCGCAGAUAUCAGGAAGAACACCCGUGGCGAAGGCGGCUCUCUGGGACGUGACUGACGCUGAGACGCGAAAGCGUGGGGAGCGAACAGG
rnacentral:rRNA from 1 species